UGGGGAAACCUGGGGCUUGAGCUCCCUCUACAGGACGAAGGGGACGGUCGGCGCCAGACCUUCCCGGCCUCUGCAGCCCUCCUGGUCCCUUGCCUGCCUGGACACUGCCUGCCUGGCUUGCCCAACUUUGAUUCUAAGAAGUGGAGAAUCACAUUCAGAGUAGUGACGCCUUGGAUGGGGUUCGAAGUGGGGGCGCCUUUGAGGCCCUCCUGUCUGGCCCUUUGGAAUUUCCGGGAUAGCCAUGCACUGUGCAUCUGAGCUGCAGAGCAGGGCUCUCGUGAGCAAGGUCUUGCACACUGUUGGAAGGUAGAAAGAGCUAGUGCUUACAACCUGGAUCAGCUUCCAGUCUGGAUCCAGCACAGUCAACAUUGUGGAUCUGUAUGCGAGGGCCGCCGCAGUGUACGGGUCCACGAGAUGAGGACACAGCUGCCAGAGCCACGGGCGACCUGGGACUCUGUUGUAUGAAGACCGGUGCCCACAUAACGAAAGUCCUCAGAAUGGAGACCACUAGCAAAGAAAAGGACAGUGACAGCGGGGGGUUGGGGGGACGGGGACGGACUGAUAUUCAAGCAAACACUUCCUUUCUCUGUUUGCAAAGGUGUUUCAGGGGUUCAAGGUCUUUCACAGUUGAAGCAUUGACGCUCCAUCUUCUUAGGUCAUACAUGUGAAGUCAGUACCACAGAACAAGGGUCAAGGCUCUGGAAGCCAAGGGCAGAGAAUUCACUUCCUCGGGUUCUUUUUCACCAGCCGCCUGCUUCACAAGAAUUCUAGGUUGCAUGUGCCCCUGUGGAGCAAAAAUGGACAACUACAAGUCUGUAAAACUUGUGCCUGUGCUUGAAGGUAACUCUGAGUGGAGACAAGUCUCAUAUUUCUUAGGUCUCACUUUGAGCAUCCAGGAAAGGUGGAUUUGACAGACUUAGCCACACUUUCUUGCAAAUCCAUCAAUGGUUAGGAUUGGGUCUAAAAAAAAAGAAGAAUGAGCCCAAAGAUAAUUAUGGGGUAAGGGGUCCUCAUAUACCACCAGAUAUUCUUUCCUGAUCUGAAUUGGCCACUCUCAUCUGAUCCACCCAUGUAGCUUAAGCACAUUUUAAAAAUGUCUACCUGUUGUGUGAUUGUUCCCAGGAACAACCU